UAAACUACGAUUAGAUACCCUAUUAUUUUGGAUGUAAAGUGUUAAUACUAGAGUAGUAUAAGUUAUGAUCUUGAAACUCAAAGAAUUUGGCGGUGUUUUAGUCCUUUCAGAGGAACCUGCCCCAUAAUCGAUAUUCCACGUUAUACCUUGCUUAAUCUUGUUGAUCAGUCUGUAUAUCGCCGUCGUCAGAAUGUCCUAUAAGGGUUAGAAUUUUCUUUAUUUGUUAUAAUUAAAGUGAUGUCAGGUCAAGGUGCAGUUUAUGAUUAAGAGGAGGUGGGUUACAAUAAAUUUAUUUAUUACGGAUAAUUAUUUGCAAUUAAUGAUUUUAAGGUGGAUUUGAAUGUAAUUUUAUAUAGUAUAGUAUAUUGAUUUUGGCUCUAAAACAUGCACACAUCGCCCGUCGCUCUUA
rnacentral:rRNA from 1 species